rnacentral:tRNA from 1 species
ACUGUCGUUAAGGAAAUUACAUACUUGCCAAGACCUAUGAGUAUCUCUAUCUGAUGAAACAUAGGCUCAAUUAU